rnacentral:piRNA from 1 species
UAAAGCACCAUCAGGCCUGCGCAUCC